rnacentral:rRNA from 1 species
UACGAAGGGUGCAAGCGUUAAUCGGAAUUACUGGGCGUAAAGGGUGCGUAGGCGGUUCGUUAAGUCUGCUGUGAAAGCCCCGGGCUCAACCUGGGAAUGGCAGUGGAUACUGGCGAGCUAGAGUGUGAUAGAGGAUGGUGGAAUUCCCGGUGUAGCGGUGAAAUGCGUAGAGAUCGGGAGGAACAUCAGUGGCGAAGGCGGCCAUCUGGAUCAACACUGACGCUGAGGCACGAAAGCGUGGGGAGCAAACAGG